UACGGAGGGGGCUAGCGUUGUUCGGAAUUACUGGGCGUAAAGCGCGCGUAGGCGGACCUGCAAGUCGGGGGUGAAAGCCCGAGGCUCAACCUCGGAACUGCCUUCGAUACUGCGGGUCUCGAGUCCGGGAGAGGUGAGUGGAAUUCCUAGUGUAGAGGUGAAAUUCGUAGAUAUCAGGAAGAACACCAAUGGCGAAGGCAGCUCUCUGGGACGGUACUGACGCUGAGACGCGAAAGCGUGGGGAGCGAACAGG
rnacentral:rRNA from 1 species